GUGCUGGAGCCUAUCCCAGCUGUCAUCGGGCAGGAGGCGGGGUACACCCUGAACUGGUUGCCAGCCAAUCGCAGGGCACAUAGGAACAAACAACCAUUCGCACUCACAGUCAUGCCUACGGGCAAUUUAGAGUCUCCAAUUCAUGCAUGUUUUUGGGAUGUGGGAGGAAACCGGAGUACCCGGAGAAAACCCACGCAGGCACGGGGGGAACAUGCAAACUCCACACAGGCGGGGCCGGGGAUUGAACCCGGGUGGCUGCAAAUACCUUUUAGGCAUAUAAAACAUGCAAAGCCAGAGACUGGGCUAAUGAAUAUUUCACUGUUUUUCUCCUCAGAUGAUGAACUCAGGCGACUUCUUUCGAGCGCAUGUGGCUGCGCUUUUAGUUGUGGACAUCAAAAAUAUUUCCCCCAUGAGGGCAAAGAUUUGAAGAAGCAAACGUCAAGUCUUGCCUUACAAACUGACUGAUUCUCAGAGUAAAUAAUGGAAUAUCAUGCAAAUAAAGUUGUUUCAGAUAGUGAGUAUAGAAGACCAUUUGAAAAUAUCCAGCUGCAUAACACCUCUUCGUCUACAUGUGCACACACACACACACACACACACAUGGCCGCAACAUAAUUCACAAUUUUAUGUUUAAAAAUGCAGUCAAAUCUUGAGCAUUCAUGGACUUCAACAAUCAUACGCACCAUUAUGACAUAAACACAUAAGGUUAUAUGUUUAAAAAAACUUUACACAAAUUAUUAAAACUGAAAAAUAACUCAGAAAUUGAAAGAGCGUACUGUAUGUUAUACAAAAAAACAACGCAGUCCAAUCAACAACACUGUCAACCCUUUGCUGUUGCCAGCAGGUGCCUGGAAAAAGACACAUUCCUUGGGACGCUAAUCUUUGAUUUGGCAGCAUACAGUAUGAAUCAGGAGCAGAAGAAUCAACCAGCAUGAACUAACUUGAGAGAUUUGCACCAUCAUCAUUCACUAACUUUAUCUCUAUAUUACAAUACCACAACUCUACUUCUACAGAAACAUUCUGCUGGUAAUCAUGUGACGCUUGCUGUUUGUGCUUAUUUUCUGGUCUCCCCUACAGCUUGUUCAACAAACCAUGUCAUUAGAUUACCACCUUAUGUGCACCUUUAGUAAGUCAGUGUAAAUAAAAUAAUGCCGGGGUGGCUAAUAACAGUAUAUAAAUUAGUAUUAUUGACAUAGAAUGUAUUCCCACAACAGUGAGUGACAGAGAAGAGGAUGUUUCAGUUUGUGGCAGUGGUAAUAUCUUUACUAUUAACAGUGGUGGUUCAACCGCUAUAGUGAAAUAAAGAGAAAGAAAAAAAGGCAGUGAAGUAUAGUGUAAAAUACUGAAAAUAAAGUCCAGCUCUGCUGUCUAAUGAAAUGGUAAUUCUCUGUGGGACUAAUAAAAAUGUGUAGGAAGUCUAUAUCCUUCACUCUUUACCACAAAUCCUAAGGUUACCUGCAGUACCCUUGGCCUGAGCCUUCCCCCAUCCCUCUCGUCAGUCAGCAUGCAAUAUAACCGCAACCUGCGAGACCACACCCCCCUGGUCAAGAGUGCAUGUGGGGCUUAGGGGGGGUCAGGCCAGCAGAUAUAAAAACAAGAGGAGAUAAACUAGACAAAGAGACUAUAGCAAGCAAAGCAAAGUCAGCAAAAUGCAGGCACCUAACUUGACUGGUUCAGGUUACAUCCCAUGUCAAACUCGGUACUGACAUUAAAGAGGACAAGAUAUUUUUUUUUAUGGUGGGCUGAGAAAAUAUGCCUUACGUCAAACAAGGUAUGCAUUUCUUCAUCAAAGGUAUUGCCAGUUUAUCCAGACUGUAUGAUGAGCCAGACUGCUUGGGACAUCUGCCUCACAGUUCUGAGGACCGGGAUUCGAAUCCCGGCCUCGCCUGUGUGGAGUUUGCAUGUUCUCCCCAUGCCUGCGUGGGUUUUCUCCGAGUACUUCAGUUUCCCUCCAGAUCCCAAAAACAUGCGUGGUCCUGAGACACUGUAAUUCCCAGGAACUUGAAGGUCUCAACGGUUGACACAAGGGAGUUGGACAACGUGAGGGGCAGCUGCGGCGAAGGAUGCCUUCUGAAGUCCAUGAUCAUCUCUACAGUCUUGAGCGUGUUCAGCUCCAGGUUGUAUCGGCCACACCACAGCUGCAGCCGCUACACUUCCUGUUGAUAUGCAGACUCAUCACAGUCUUUGAUGAGACUGAUGAUUGUGGUGUCGUCUGCAAACUUCAGUAGUUUGGAAGCCAGGUCCGUUGAGGUGCAGUCAUUCGUGUAGAGAGAGAAGAGCAGCGGCGAGAGGACACAUCCUUAGUGCGCCCCGGUGCUGAUGGUGCAUGUGGAUGAGGUGGUGUCGCCCAGCCUCACCUGCUGUGUCCUGCCCGUCAGGAAGCUGUAAAUCCACCGGCAGAUGGCAGGCGAGACGCUGAGCUGGAGAAGCUUGGAGGAGAGGAGUUUGGGGAUGAUGGUGUUGAACGCAGAGCUGAAGUCCACAAACAGGAUCCUCGCUAAUCAGCACCAUCUCGGCUGCGCACACGUCAUCAAGCAGCCCUCAUCAUCACCUGCAUAAAAGCCUGCCAGAACCCGGAAACUCUCGCCGGAGUAUUAACGCUCUCUUGCGUGUUCCCUCUGUGUUCCUCACAUCCACGACGUCAAGCCAGCCGCAUGUCCUCGCCACCCCCUGCCACAUGUUCCAUGCCUCAACAAACCGCCAGCAUAUCUCAAGGACCAUCUCCAUUCCCCUUUGUUCAAUAAAAACGUU